GCGUGGAAACUAUGCGACGAUGACAACGACGCUUACCCAUGUGCGCCUUCUUACCUCAGCUUCCCAGAUAGCGCACGCGGGGACGGCGGCACACCCCUCCCACCCUGCGGCGCGUGCCCGUGGAGGUGGGUGGCGGCGAGCUAAUUAAUCGCAAUACCCCAUAUGGGGGUUCGGAUCUCCUCACAAGCAGUAUUAUGUAUACCCGACUACCACGGAUAGAAGAAGCAGGCAGCAUUAUGCAGGCGAGGCGACAGCCGAGAAGAAGAACCAUGGCGGUGGUGGAUGGCGAUGGUGCACACGGAGUCCUUCUAGAGUGGAUGAGAAGAAUCCUUUUAGUGCUCCAACUGUGUUCGAGGGACUCUCGACCUCCUAACCCUCUGCAAGGGAUGCCUGAAGACGGGCUACCGUUUACUUCAUACAGGCAACAAGAACGUCUUGAUUGAAUUUGAUUCAUCUGUCAUUUGUGAAAUUAAAGACUUAGAAGAGAGAGGACCUGGCCAGAAAUUUCGGUUCCGCUCCAGUUGUUCAGAGCCUCUUCCUUCCUGCUUGCAGCUGCUGGAGCACAGAUACAUUGUAUCUAAAAAGGUAAGGCCUAACAGGAGCCAACACAACUGCCACACCUCUACGGUAACUACAUGAGCAUACACUGAAUGGAACGAAGCGUCGCUGGGCCUUCUCCUGUUAGAUAAAUAGCACACCCAAUCUUUAAAAAGAGUGAACUGUCUGAUGGCAUACAGGGACACAUGUUGUAGGCAAGGCACAAUUGGAACCAUUGUCCUAGAAAUGUGUAACACAGUGUCAGGGUUCUCGCCAUUCAACUCCUAACUUAGAUAUUCUUGGGGGGGAGGGACCUUUUUUUUUUUUUAACUGUUAAGUUUUGCUUGUAUUUUAUUAUGAAUAACCAGGGAUCCAUAAAGAAAGCAUUUACUUUGUAAAUAAAUGGCAGCAGGUGGUACCGAGGGUUAUAGGACACCAGGAGCCUGAAACACAAGCUGCCCUGUGGUCUGCUCAGUUUUCUGUUUUCACUUGACACAAAGUGAAAGAAGAGAUUUUAUUUAAUUGGUAUGGUGAGGUGACACCAUCUAUGAUUUUGGCCUAGCAUCAACCUGCCCGAGCCGUGAAAGCUACGUAUGUGCUUUGUUUUUCAAAAGUCUUCCAGAGUUGGAAUUUACAAUGUAGAACUUGUAAGUUACCAAUUGAUUUUAAUAGGUUGCCCUGCAGUUUUAAACACUUAUGUUUAUGCUUUGAGAGUAAAGUGAAUUACCAUAAUUCCUGGAAUACUGCACUAGAAAGUGUCCUCCCUCAUCAGAGUCAGGGACACGUGGACAUUGCAGAAGCCUUAAUGCUCCAAGUGAGACCAUAAAAUACAUUGGCAGAGAGGAUGCAGGCUCCUCCCUGGCUCGUGCCAAAGCCAGAACAUUGAAAUAACACAUUCCUAACCUGAAAUACUGGGUCACCUAAUAUACAGCUUGACCGCAGACUUCAAGCUUGGGGUUGAACUCUGCGGGCUUGUGUUCCUCAGCCCUUCUGUAUCUUUCUUUCUGGGUAAGGAUGCUUCAUCUGCUUUCAGAAGCAACAACAUUGCUGUAGGUUAGAAUCUUUGAAAUUGUAUUACUACUUAAUGAUGUAACUGAGGUUUUGGACAAGAAUGUCUUCCUGAGCCUUUCAUUAGUUGGGGUCAUUGUAAGCUACUUUCCAAGAGCCUAGAGAAAACACAAUUAUGAUAUUAUUUUAAUAGCCCAGGAAACAAUAACUAGGCUUCCACUGAAACAGAAACCCUAGCUGUAAGGCUUUAAUAACAGUACUUAGUGAUGCGCUCUGUCUUCAAAGCACAUUCUGCACUUUAAUUAGCCAGAUGACUGGAACUGUUGCUGCAGAUAAAUGUUAUUUGCAGCUUCGGCCAUAUAGGAGGUGAAAGCAGGUACUGUGAGAAGCUCUUCUAGUCCUGGCUAAUCUCCAUAAGAAGGCUUUAAUACUUAGAACUGGAAAGUUUUUACACAUCCAAUGUCAUGACCACUCACGACAUUUUUUCUCAUGUCAUAUCCACUGGUUAGUAUUUCAACUACAAAGUAACUCCAAACAUGCAUUCUCUAUUAGACAUUAGAUAUUUAAAUGUCAUUUCGCAAGUUCUAAGUCAACUACUGAAGAAUGAACUAAGUACAUGAAAUUUCCCUCUUUAAUAUCUAUCAGCUAAUCCUCAAAUAAGGUAUCUCUAAUUUAGAAUAGAAUCUCAGUCUAGUUCAAACCAAGUGGCCAAUGUGUUGGGACCCAAUUUUUUCAAUGUGGGGGUUUUGGUUUGGUUUGGUUUGUAGCCUUCAUUGACUGUGACCCAGACAGGCAAGUGCCACCUGUAUGAGAAACAAGCCUAACUCCCCUCCCUAUGACUUAUAAAAUAGGGGACCAGAAGGGGAUUCUAGCAGCUCCCUUCCCUUUGAAAUUCAACUCUGCACAGUGCGUUGACUCUCCUGGCUAACCAGGAGAGGAAGAUAUAAGCAGUAUAAUCGUAAACCACAGACCUCAUGAGUAACAUGGAGAAGGGAGAGAGGGCAGCUCCAUUUACCCAGGGCACACUAGCUUUGAUGGGAUACCAUAAACCAUCCUAGCAGAGAGCACAUGCAUGUGAAAGGCUAUCAAAGAGUUCUCCCAACUAACGGCUAUUUUCCCUAAAGUAAAAGUUGGUGCAUCUGGUGACGUGAUCCUGAUUUGAAGAAGAGUGGGUGUUGAAACCCUCCGCUAAAACACAACGUCUUUAGUUUAGGGAAGUUUGUUACAUUGGGCAUGGCAGCUCAUAACUGAUCCCAGAACUUGGCAAUUUAAGGCAAGAGGAGUUGUUUGAGUCUGAGGCUAGCCUGGGCUAUAGAGCAAUACCAUAUUUCAAUAAAAAUAAACAAAGAAUAGCCUCUGCCAAAUGUUUAUAUUUUAAUUAGAUUCUGAACAACUCCCCCUGCCCGCAAUCCCUUGCAUUCCGUCUUUCAAAAUGAGCCCUAUUGUAAGAACUAGGUACUAGCUAAAAACCUGAGUUGGUAGCAAAUAUUUUGUAGCAGAAUGUAACUUUGUGAGUAUACAUUUAUAUCUUUGGUUUUCAAUGACCAAAAUGCAUUUUCAAAUAGCGGAUGAUUUGACUAGUCCUACUUUGGGACAACUGAGAUUCUGAUGGGAGCCAGGGGUCCUUCAGUUCCACAGAGCUCUCUUUGUCUGCUGUUAGGAAACACCAAAUUAAGUUAUCAAUGUGACAUACCUAAUCACACGUUUAAUUCAUCGAGAAGUGUAGGUAUCUUUUCAUCUUUUUGUAUUUGCUCACACACGUUGAAAUUGGAAAAUGUAUAAUUAUUAUUUAACUCCACCUGUUUCCCCCAGGGCAUAAAGUGCACAGCCCCUCCAGUGAGGAUGGCUCUUUGGAAGGGAGAUGUGCAGAGUCCCUGUCUGCCCCUGUGUGGACUCGUGCUCAGUGUCUGCUGGGAUGCCUGUGGCGGCAGGCACUCUCUCAACACCAGCAGGGCCCACAUGGCACUGUGGCUUUCUGGGGUCUCUGCCUAGCUCUGGAAGUGUCAAACUGGAGAAAAUUCUGUAGCUCAAAAGUACCAGGCAUUUGUAAGAAGCCUGGAGAUUGGAUAAAGGGACAUGUUUUAUGAGCUACAGGCCCUAGUUGUACCUACAGCCAUAUCCUAGGGUCUCUGCAUGCCACUCUGUACUGGGAAGGUUGCCUCGGCUCACUUUCUUGAACAUUCCUGUUUGUCCCUUACAUUAGUCUCUACUAUAUUCUCAGAUUACAAUUCCUUUUGUGCUAAUUACACCCCCAAAUUAAAAGAAUGUUGCUGACUUCACAAAGAAUACAAAGCAGUCUGGUUUUAAAAAUUAAAUCUAGCCAACUUCUUUUAGGACUUCAGGUGGCUUCUGCUGCUUGUAUUAGCUGGAAAUGCCAACAUAUUCACUAAGAAAAACUGAGCAAUAUAUCUGGGGGGCAGGUAUUAAAAAUGUGUGUUGCCUUUGGAGGACAUCUACAUAAAAUGAUAAGGUAAAUUAAAAUUGGGUGAGGAUAACAGACUGGUUUUAAAUAUUGUCCCUAUUAGCCAAACAAAUAAAGGAUCCCAAGAAAUCUCCUAAUGGUUAAAAUGCAAACACUACCUACAUGGAAUGGUUUGUUUUUCCUAAGGAACAGUACAUUACCAGCUAAUGCUGAAAGCAUGCUACAGCUGUGACCUGUAGCUUGGACACUAGCUUGAGUGACAGGUGUACCCAUCACUUGCUCAGAAUGGCUGAAAUUACAAGGCCUAACUCAGCUUUUCCCCCCAGUUAACUGAUGCCAACAUUACAUCCAUCCAGGAAAGAGCCUCCAGCUACAGGCACAGCAGAGCAUAUGUUCUCAGUCUUCAACAUGUCCACAACUGCUUCAGCCUUGGGUCAGAAGGGAGCUGGGGCUCCCUAAUCGUAGAACCAAAAAGCCAGGAUGGCUCUUCCUGAGGAUGGCUGGAGAAAGCAGCUAGCUUCUCUAAUGCUCAUCUGAGGGAGUUUCUAUGACUGAGGCAUCCUCAGGGUUCUAGGAAGCAUGUCACCAAAAUUGGUGUCAUUAAAGAAGGUGGCACAAAGCUGAGUAUCCAGUGGUGAACUAUAACAUACUAACUAGGCCUGUUUUUAUCACUAGGUUGCAGUGAUCUGCAAAUAUGAAGAUGAUCCCUGAGCAAGCUUAAUACUAUAAUUUGCAACUGCUUCUGUUGUUCUUCCUCCCCUAACUUUGUAAAACUUUCAUGCCCUCCCCAGAGUGAUUGGUACAGGUGGCAAAGAGAAAGCGAAGCUUUGGUGUGUGUGUGGGGUGGGGGGGGGCACUUAACAAAUUUUCAUUUUAAAAAUGGAUACAAAAGAGGCUAUGGCAAGAAAACACAGAGGCCCGAUUCCUGAGAAAUGAGAAAAAUAAGAAGGUAUACCUGGGUGGAAGGCAGAGAGAAAGGGAGGGAGGGAGGGAAGGGAGAAGAGAGAAGGAAAGAAAAGCCAGCUAGCUACAAGCAGCCUGGAAGCCCCGGAAAGAAACGAAAUCACCACAAUGAUCUCAGUGGAGCCUAACUUAGUCCUUGUCCCACCACCUGCUGCUUUGGGGAAAGCCACAGCACCAUUUGCUCCAUUUCAGCAACAAGAGUUUGUUUGAUUUCCAAGACUCAUUAGAAUCCUGAGGUCCCUGCUUAACAGGGUAACUGAAAAUCUAUGUUUUCAACUCUUGACUUUUUCAUUUUUCUACUCAAAACUUGGUAAACUGUUAAAAGUACACGUUCAGAGGGCUGUGACUGUUAAAUAAAAAUAAGAGAUCAAAGCUAGAUUAUAGGGGUUUGGUCACACCUGGGCUCUGCCUGGCCUGUACCCCAAAGGAAAAAUGAGGAAGAUGGAUCAGGAUGAUGUCUGCAUUUUCCCCUCUGCCUUCAGUGUUUGUAAACAGAGCUAGACUAAUCCACAAAGGGACCGACCUGCCAUCUUCUCUCCCACCUAACUAGCUUUUUACUGCACUGAUAAGACAGAAAAGGGGGGCGGGGAUCUGGCAUAGACUAGCUAAAUUGUUUAUGCAGAUGAGAGAAAAGAGAGAGGAUUGAUUAGCUUGGCUCAGUUUUGGUGACUGUGAAAUAAAAAAUGGAGGAGGGGGGGUCAAUUUGUCCCAAACUAAAAUUAUAGACAUUUUUCUUUUGUGAUAAACUACUUCUCAUUGCUUCUUUUUUUUUUUCAUGAACUGGAUCAAGCUGGUUGUUACCUAAGACAAAGCAAGGGUGAACGGCUUUUGCUUCCUCUAAAUCAAAGAUGGCUACAGGCACCAGGCAGACCUUGCCUCUCGGGAUGCUGCUGCCAGUCCGUCCAUUCUCCCUGCCCACCUGCCUGUAGGGACCAGACUACUUCCUCAAGCCCGGCUUCUCUCUGCAGCAGUCUCCGAAUGGCUACCCAGAGAAGGCAAGAGACUCCCACAUCUUGUCCACAUCUUAUUCAUGUAAGAGAACUAGAAGAAGAAGCUGCUGAGAAUGAAGUACUAAGGCUGGCCUUAGUGGAAGAGGGGUCAUCUGGGAAUAAUUCUCGGACAUUUGUGAAAAUUGCUUCUAUCCAAGAAUGUAGGCCACCAAGAUUAGUGUACACACUGCUGAUUGGUUAGUAAAAGGGACAACUUUCCUUUAGAUGGUUUGUCAGUAGAUGAACAAGUUAUGCCAUGUGCAAUGUCUAGCUUCCUCAGGACAAGGUAUGGAUAAUGUCUGGGGAGGAGCUCUCAAAUAUGGGUGACAUUUAGUGGUCACUAGAAAGAUUUGGGUUGUCAUACUUAAUUGUGGGGAGGUGGCAGUGGUGGUAGUGUGUGUGUGUGUGUGUGUGUGUGUGUGUGUGUGUGUAAUGUGUGUAGUGGAUGUUAGUUGUUAGUAAUAGUGUGUAUGUGUGAAAUGUGUAUAGUGGUAGCUUUGGGUGAUCAUGGUGAUGGUAUUGUAUGUAUGCUCACGUGCAUAUGCGUGUGUGUGUGCUCAUGUGCAUGUGUGGUGGUAGCAUAUGUGUGUGUACAUGUGUGUAUGCUUGUGUGUGUACUUAUGUGCAUGUGUGGUGGCAAUGUGUAUAUUUGUGUGUGUGUCCAUGUGUGUGUCUGAUAUUAGAUAUCUACAGUGCACAGAACAGGUCCCAGCCCCCAUGGCAAAAUGUCAAUGGAAUUGCUUGGCAGAUCCUCUGUUAAAAGAUACCCUUCUAUUGUUCCUACAAUCUCAGUGCAUAGCCAAAAAAGAGUAAGUCAUAGCUCAAAAUAUAAAAAAUGUGGAUCUGACUAAACUUUGGGAGCCCCUAUGGGUCUCUUUUUUGGGGUUGGGGCAAAGUAUGAAAGUAAAGCAGGACCCGUCCCCACCUUGCUGGCCUUCCUGUCCUCUCUCUCUUCCGCCUUAUACCCUCUCAUGAUCUAGUGGCCACCUGAAAUAUCAAUCCUUAGUUACUGUCUCCUGGCUUUUCUAAAGCCCACCACCAAAAACUGCUUACCUGAGGGGAUAGUAGACAGGAGGCUCCUGGGUGGUACCUGUGAUUUUAUGGAUAAGCUAUCUAAGCACACACUAGGCCCAGCAGAGCCAUUCAAUGCAAAUGCAAGGAAUUAAGACGUACACUUCCCAGACAUGCUAAAAACAAUAACCCCAACAAACGACAACUUAAGAGACAAAUUACAAAUAAACUCUUCCUUUCCUAAGGAGUGACCCUUUGGGAUUUGGUUCUGGCCCUUGGACACUUACAGAUGACCACAUGGAACAAUAGAUUGAAGAGAGUGCUGUUUUGAAAGGAUACGCUUGAAUCCACUAUGCACUUUCACACUUUCCCAAGAACGCCACCUACUCUUGACACUGUAUCCCUCGGGAGUAAAGGGGUCAGUGAGACCAAUAAGCUACGUUUACUGCUUUAAAAUCUGGGGUUCAGACCCAGGAUGGGUCUCAGAAGCCCCAGGGGACUCAACAUAUCUAGCAGGUAAGCUUCAAGAUACCUGCUUUCAUUUCCUUUACAGCUCUGGGGUCCUAGACUCAUCUGUGCCUAGCUUUGGGUUUUGUGUGUCAUUGUGACCAUUCCUGUUGACAUUUGUUGGGGGGAAAAUGCAGUUUUGGACUUACCUGGGUGCAGGUUACCUGUAGGAAUGUCUUCAGAGUCGUCUACACAUUAACGACCAGUUUGACGAGGGACAAACUAGUUCCGUAGGAAGGAGGAGAGAGGUAUUCAGAACUUUGACAGAAGGACAGGCAAGAGCCAGCAAGUCAGAAGAGAGGCUCCAGCUGGCUGUUCUGAAGUCUUCGUAAGAGGUCACUCUCCCUUAGUGGUGGCAGUGAGCAAGCUCGACCGUGACACUCCUGAGAAGGGAUUUAAGAAGAAAAAAAGUCCUCCUCUCCGAGUCUUCUGGAAACUGAGCCUCCUCUGGCAGCUUGCAUCUGAGACUGUUACUGAGUAUUCUUAAGCUGCAUAAAGGCCUCAAAGAGUCUUCAUCUGAAACUCCAAAGGAAAGGCCGGACCCAUUUUCUUUCUAUUCUCUCUGGAAAGCUUGAUCCUAGGUCAGGGGUCCAUAGGUCAGCCUAGGAAUGUGAUGUAACAACAGAGCACUCCAUCCAGUGGACUAAAGACCUUGAGAGGUGGGCGUCAGGCAGAGUCUCCGUGCCUGCUGCCCAGAGGCCCACAGAGGCCGAAUUCCAGUGCCCACAGUUCUUGGCCUCUGCUCACUCGGGCCCUGUUGGUUCUACUUGGAAAAAUUCUCCUCUCUCUGUGAAGUUUUAGUUUGGAAGCCAUAGUGGCAUUUGAAAAGCUGUAGAGUUACUAAGAAGGGGGUGGGCACAUCUUAUUGAGAGGGGAAGCUGAUUGUAAAAAGAAGUGGGUGUGCCUAGACUUGAGGGUUUUAAAUUUGAUCAACUAGGCUAUCCUCUCUUUUAAAAAAAAUUUAAAUUUCCUGCAUCAAAAUAAAUCAACAAAACAAA